rnacentral:rRNA from 1 species
GACGAACGCUGGCGGCGUGCCUAACACAUGCAAGUCGAGCGGGGUUGAGGCGAGAGGUAACUCGAACUUCUACCUAGCGGCGGACGGGUGAGUAACGCGUGGGCAACCUGCCUCAAGGUUUGGGAUAACAGCCCGAAAGGGCUGCUAAUACCGGAUAUGCCUAUGGCCUCGCAUGGGGCUAUGAGCAAAGGGGAAACCCGCCUUGAGAUGGGCCCGCGUCCCAUCAGCUAGUUGGUGAGGUAACAGCUCACCAAGGCGACGACGGGUAGCCGGCCUGAGAGGGUGACCGGCCACACUGGGACUGAGACACGGCCCAGACUCCUACGGGGGCAGCAGUGGGGGAUCUUGCACAAUGGGCGAAAGCCUGAUGCAGCGACGCCGCGUGAGCGAAGAAGGCCUUCGGGUUGUAAAGCUCUGUCUGGAGGGACGAACAAAAUGACGGUACCUCCGGAGGAAGCCACGGCUAACUACGUGCCAGCAGCCGCGGUAAAUCACGUGUA